GUCAAGGUCACAAUCUUGAGGGCAGAGCCAUCAGAAAGAGGAACAGAAGAGGGUGGUGGAACCCGGAACAGCCUGCCCGCCCCGUCCCCCGCCGAAGGCACAGGAGGAUGGCGGGCCCCUUCUGCAGGCUCCUGGGUUAAGAAGCCGGGCUGGAGGACUUUGCGCCUGGACCCCGGGGAGGCCCCCGAAGACAGACUGCGAUGGGAGGAAGGCGGGUGUGGAAAUCCGAGCACGUAUUGUAAGUAGAUCAAAAAGAUGUUACGAGGCGCCUGGCUGGCUCAGUCAGUAGAGCAUGCGACCCUUGAUCUCAGGGUUUUGAGUUUGAGCCCCAUGUUGGGUGUAGAGAUAACUUAAAAGUAAAAUCUUAAAAAAAAAAAAAGAUGCCACAAUAACUCCUUCACUUCUCGAAUCCAUAUGCCUUGCAGUGUGACUUUGCCACUCAUCCCAUCAAAGUUUAUCAGGAUGCUUGUGGCUGUAACAGAAACCCCAGUUAAACAGUGGUUUAACCAAUAGGAAGUUAAAGGCUCGUGUAACUGGAUACCCAGUGGGAGAAUGAGCCUGUGACCAGCGGUGUCAUCACGGACCCUGAUUCUUUCCAUCCUUCAGAACUGCUGUCUGCAGCAUCAGCUUUAUCCCGACGCUGCUUCUUUGAGGGGUCAAGGGAUGUAAAGUAUCCGUAGCUUUUCCUUUAGACCAGGGGUUCCUGACCUUGGCACUACUGACAUUUUGGCCUGAAUGAUUUUUGUGGGGGGGGCUGUCCUUUGCGUUGUAGCAUGUUUAGCGCAUCCGUGGUUUCUCUCCCCUAGAUGCCAGAGCUCUUCUCCAGUUGGGACGAUCAAAAAUGUCUCCAGACAUUGCCCAAUGUCUCUGGGGGUCAAAGUUGCCCCCAGGCAAGAACCAGAUGUGUUUACUGGCAAUCUAAGGCUCACAUGACCACAUCUGAACCAGUUAUUGAGAGAUAGACAGCCAGCGAGAGAGGGAACACAAAGGGGGAGUGGGAGAGGAAGAAGCAGGCUCCCAGCAGAGGAGCCCGACGUGGGACUCGAUCCCGGAACGCCGGGAUCACGCCCUGAGCCAAAAGCAGACGCCUAACCGCUGUGCCACCCAGGCGCCCCUGAAUUUGUAGAUUUCUAAUAAUGUAUAUUGUUAAACAGCAUCUAUAUCCACCCCUAGAACCUAAGAGAGAGACAGCCAGCAAAAGAGGGAACACAAGCAGGGGGAGUGGGAGAGGAAGAAGCAGGCUCCUAGCGGAGAAUCCUGAUGUGGGACUCGAUCUCAGAACGCCGGGAUCACGCCCUGAGUCAAAGGCAGAUGCUUAACGACUGCACCACACAGGGGCCCCUCUCAUUGAACUUUCUUUUCCCCAUCUCCCUUUGUCCUGCAUUCUGGGAAUAUUCUUCUGCCUAAUCUUCUAGUUUUCUAUUUAGGUAAAGUAUUCUACAGUUCAGCCCAUCUACUGGGUUUUAAAUUUCAAUGGUUUCAUAUUUUUAUUUACAAAUACUUUAAUUGGUAUCCUCCUACAACUGGCUGUCUUCAUUUCAUGGACGUGAUGCUCACUCUUAUUUCUUCGAGGAAACUGUUUUAAGAUGUGAACUCUGUGUCAGUGAUGGUAACAUUAGCUGCUGUAACAGGAAAAGCCCACCCCAAAGUUAGUGGUUUAACACAAUGACCGUUCACUCCUCAUUCCUGUGAGGCGCAGAAAGGGAGGUGGCUCUGCCCCCCACCUUUGGGGAUCUGAUUUGACAGAAGUUGACUCGGGACCUUGUCUCCUUCUUCAGGUAGCUGCUUCUCCGUUUACAGGUUAGAAAAUUGAAACUGCAGCUGAGAGUAUUAACUAGCUCCCCCAAAGGGCAGGUUAGGGCGCCCCCAAAGGUGUAGAAGCAGAAGCCCAACUGGCAUCAAGGCCUGUGCUUUUCCCCCACUGUAUGCAGUGUUUCUUUCUUUUGAAGAUUUUAUUUAUUUAUCUGAGAGAGAGCGCGUGCAUGAACGGGGAGGGAGAGGCAGAGGGAGAAGCAGACUCCUUGCUCAGCAGGGAGCUGGGUGCGGCACUGUAUCCCAGGACCCUGAAAUCGUGACCUGGGCUGAAGGCAGACACUUAACCAACUGAGCCACCUGGGAGUCCUAUACAGUGUUUCUUCUUAAAGAGUUCUGCCUCCGAUCCACUCCAGGGGGGCUGGGGUACAGUGAUGUUGAGGGGAUUUGGUUCUAAAGCUAGUAAGGCAAAAGUUGCAUAUAGUUAAAAUCAAAUUAGAACAUUGUUUAUAUCCCUUAUAAAGCACAGUAUGCAGUAAUUCUUAGACAUAAAAGCUUGGAAACCACUGAACUAGAACCACCAAAAGGAGUCAUGAAAGGAAAACCAAUAUGGCAGACGUUCGGACCUUUGGUCUGUUCUGCUUUUCAGAUAACCCUCGUCUUUCUGGGUGAACAGAGGAUGGGUGGGUUGUUCUCAAAACGUUCCUGUAGGGUUACUCCAUUCUGUGUGAUAUGAAGCGCUUUGUGCCAGAUAUUAAGUUAUUGUCUCUCGGCUCCAAACCCAUGGUUUAUAUUCUGCGUUAUGAUGCAGGGGCUGGGAUGCUGCAAACUCCAUUGAUGCUUCCCAGCUGGUUCUGUUAGGCCCUGCCGGAUGGAGGUAAGGGAGGGAGUUUGCAAACUUGGGGAUGGGGGAAGCCGGGUAGGGGAGGCUGGCUCCUCCCUGACUGCUUUCUGUCGGUGCCCUGCCUGCCCGUGCUUCCUGAGCUCCACACCCUGGGUCCUUCCCUAAGCUUCCCUGUCCUGUCCUCUGCAACUUGCAGUUUCCCUGUUCUUGCAGAAUCAGCUUUAAAGCGACCGCAUGAGGGAUACCAACACGAGAAGCUGGUGCGCCCCCUUGGAGGCCAGAGUUUCAAUUCUGCACAGGUCUUUACUUACCUUCCAAGUUUUAGUACUUGUUCCUUCUUUGGUUGCCCUCAGUCCUAGGGGUGGUGGCUGCUUCUUCCAGCUGCUAUGGUAUCUGCUACUCCAGAACUCUCUUUUUGGCUUUUCAGUUACCUAGUUAACAACUUUAAACUUAGUUAACAGUUCUCUGUAGUAGACUCUUUGUUAAAUGACUGGCCUGGUUUCUGUCUCCUGACUGGUAUAUUUUUAUAUGCUUAAUUUUAUAUAUUAAAAGAUUUGUUGGGCACCCUGGGUGGCUCAGUUGGUUAGGUUCCAACUCUUGAUUUUGACCCAUCCUGGGGUCAUGAGGAUCGAGCCCUGUUGUGAGCUCUGCAUUGUGUGGAGCCUGCUUCAGAUUCUCUCUCUCCCUCUGCUCCUCUCCGCCUUCUCCCUCUCGCUCUUAAAAAAAAAGGGGUUUUUUUUGUUUAUGGUUGUGAUUUGCAACCAAGGAGUGUUAGGUCCUGAGAUCAGGGCAUCAAAUACUAAAAGUGGUUGGCUCUCCGUAUAUUGCCUCUCUAAUGUGAUCACAUUUGGCUGUUGGCCAUGGGCUGGAGCAGUCUGUGACCUCAGCUGAGACCCUUCUAGACAGGGCAGGGCACGUUACGGGAGCCGAGGAGAAAGCCCUUCAUCUGCACUGUGGUUACUGUUUGGUUUCCAGGGGUCUCUGCAAUAGAACAGGAAGUUUAUGUCUGUGUCACCUCACAGGUGGAAGGUCCUUGGAGAGACAUUCAUAGGCUAGCCCUGCUUUCAGUUUAGCUUAUAUAUCUGUUCCAUUUCCAUUUUCUCUGGCUCAGGGCCAGUGGGCUCUCCCCUACUUUUUCCUCCUUCCUUUCUCCCAUGGAGAUACUCUACAGCUUCUCUUUGCCAGGGGCCAUUGGAUGCUCCCUCCCUUCAAAUCACUGGUAGACACACCCCACCACCUCACCCCUCCACCCCCAACAUCAUGUGGCAUUCUCUUAAUUUCCUGGCAUGGAUCCUACAUGCCUUGGAUGAGAGUGGGGUUCUUAUAAAUCCAGAGCACUGUGGACGGUGGCCAACCUAGGCAUUUUUUUUUUAAGAUUUUUUAUUUUAUUUAUUCGACAGAGACAGCCAGCGAGAGUGGGCACACAAGCAGGGGGAGUGGGAGAGGAAGAAGCAGGCUCAUAGCAGAAGAGCCUGAUGUGGGGCUCGAUCCCAUAACGCUGGGAUUACACCCUGAGCCGAAGGCAGACACUUAACAACUGCGCCACCCAGGCGCCCCAUCAACCUAGGCAUUUCUUGUAAUCCAUGUGUCCUGGAGGAAUUCAUACCUGCUACCUGCAGAUGAAGAAACUGAGAAAUAUCAGUCACUUCUACAACUUAAUAGAAAAGACCCAACCCCCCCCCCCAAAAAAAGCCAA